rnacentral:rRNA from 1 species
UAGGAUUAGAUACCCUAUUAUUAAAAUUUAAAUUGAAAAUACUAAAAUAGUAGAUAAUUAUUUAUUGAAACUUAAAUAAUUUGGCGGUAUUUUAGUUCAUUUAGAGGAAUCUGUUUAAUAAUUGAUAAUCCACGAAUAAAUUUACUUAAUUUUUUAUUUUGUAUAUCGUUGUUAAAAAAAUAUUUUUUAAUAAUAAUAAUAUUUAAAAAUUUUGAUUAAAAAUUAAAUCAGAUCAAGAUGCAGAUUAUAAUUAAGAAUAUAAUGGAUUACAAUAAAUUUAUUU